AUUUCAGCUUGUCCGGAUGCCCUCGUGCAAGGAAAGGUGGUGUCAAAAUGACCCCUACCAAGGAAGAAAAAGAAGACCCUGAACUGAAAUGUCCUGUGAUAGGGUGUGAUGGCCAAGGUCACAUAUCAGGUAAAUACACAUCACACCGCACAGCUUCUGGCUGUCCUCUGGCUGCCAAGAGACAGAAGGAGAACCCUCUCAAUGGAGCCUCCCUCUCCUGGAAACUGAACAAGCAAGAGCUACCACAUUGUCCCUUGCCAGGCUGCAAUGGGCUGGGCCAUGUAAAUAAUGUUUUUGUCACCCACCGAAGCUUAUCUGGAUGUCCUCUCAAUGCACAAGCUAUCAAAAAGGGCAAGGUUUCUGAAGAACUCAUGACCAUCAAGCUCAAAGCAACUGGGGGUAAGAGCACAGGGCUGGCUGUCACCACCUCCUCCAGGAUGUAGACCCUGGCUCCCCAAAGAGUUUCGUGUGUCAAAGUAUUCUCUAGGUGGGAAGCAUAAUUUUAAUGUACAAGAAGAAAGGUUUCCUCAGAUUUGAACUAAAAUUAUAACUUUGUUUAAAAACCA
rnacentral:sRNA from 1 species